GAUAAACCUUAAAGAUAUUGUGGUAUAAUCUUGUUAUUUUCAAUUUUAGAAUAAGUGAAAAACAUGCAGGAACAAGACAAUGCAGAUGAUCGCAUGUGGAAUGAAGAUUCCUAUUUUUCACUGCAAUUGGCAAGCAUGUGUAUUUUCCUUAUUGUAAUGUUGAUAUUUUUGCUGGUGAUCCAGCGAAAACUACGCAUUAAUUUGCAAGCAAGUUUCAGAAACCAGGACCCAGAAUAUUAGACACAGAAAAGAGAAACCAGGGGUGCUUAAGACAUAUUCAGACAAAAAGGACAAAUUUACUUGCAGGAUUAGUGCGUUAAAUGCUUCCAAAUCUAGGAUAAUGUUGAAAUUAAAAAAAUUGCUAUGAAGUUGGAAAAAGAGCAGGUUUACGAACCUGUUGACACUCUAUUCAUUAUAAGGAAACGGGGAACACAUCUAUACAGAUGUUUUGGUUAUGGGGAGCUCCGGGAGAGGUUUAUAAAUGGUGAAGUUCUCACAGACUAUCCCCCGUAUGCUAAUAGAAAGGAACAAUCCAUGCCGGAGGUGGAGAAAGAUACUAAAGUAGAAUUUUUAACACCAGGGAAAGACCCUUUCAGUUUCAGCAGGGGUAGUGCCAAGACCCUUGCUGAAAGACAAAAGGACCAACUAGACAAUUUGCCGAUCAGGAUAGCUCCAGAUGAAGU